AAUCCUAAUUUAGUUUAACCCUGCUGGAGCCUGUGGGAGUUUUAUUGUAUUACAGAUAAGUUACGGGCCGGUGCCUAUUGACAGAAGUGAAAAAAUGAGAAGUAAAAUGAAAUCAGCUGGCUGUUACUCAGCCUUCACUGCCCAACUGGAUCAGGAAAAGUGUUAAAAUGAGUCCUGCAAUUUUCCUUUCCAGCCUUUAGAAUGUGAUUUUUAGUUUUGUUUUUUUUAAAAAAAGGGGGAGGGUGCACCUGAGAACGUUUUUAAAUGCUCUCUGUGGCUGCCAUCAAAGGAGUUUUCUACUUUGGAAAAAGAGCAAGCCUUGUCUCCAAAUGCACUUUUGCCAGGAAUUCUGCCCUGAUUAGGCUGCCUUGGAGCACUUCCUUGGGUGGGUGCCAUACUGAAGUUAUUGGAUGGCAGCCAUGUGUUCAACACUCUUAAAGUCUAUUCCCUUAAUUUGCAACUCAACAUAAAACUCGGAUUAAGUCCAUUGAUACUGCUGGAGGGCGGGGCUAACAUACAUAUGUAUGCAAUUAUUUUCAGGAUAUUGCAAUGAGUACGUAUAUACUCCCACAGAAGUUGCUCUGAAGUUAAACGCUAAUGUUCCUUGGGUAUGCGUUUUGCUCCUGGGUAUGCGUCUGGUUUCUUCAUUUGAAAAUUAUUCCACAUUAGGAUCUCCUGGCUGGUACUAACGAAAAUGCUGGAUAAUCCAUACGUUUGAGUCAGCUCCUCCUAAGACACUGUUUGCCUCUCCAGCCCCCACAAUCCUACCCCACAACAGGACCUUAGCAAAGCACUUUGGUGAAUGUUUAUAUCCAGGCCUGCUAGACUGAGCCUAUCACCUCUGACCAAACUCAAGUGCAUUUUUGAGCAUAAAUGUUUUAGAAUUAGGCACAUAGAAGAAUGCCUUCAAAGGGAUCAUUUUAUCGUGAUUCGCAUAGCAGGACAUAAGACUUUUCUCUCCCUUACUUGGAGAGAGGGUUGCCAGCAUCUCUCAUCCACAUUUCACAGAUCUAUUUAGGAGGAUGAAAUGAGGUGGGCUGCACAUAGAAGGAAAGGUUGUAUUGACUUGUAUUUUUAUUGUGUAACAGGCAUCCAUUUCAGAGUUCUUACUCUUUCACUCACAAGCUUUCUGCUCUGAACAAUGCCUUACUGAGACCAUCCACACUCUUUCAGACCUCGUAUUAUCUCCUACAUGAUCCUCUACCAGCUACAGGUUACCUGUGUGGCACGCAGAGAGAGAAAGGCACAGAAGCAAGUAUAUAUAUCCAGAAUAAAAACAACCAAUACCGUUCUCUUGGUCUUCACCCAGGCCCAGUCUCUCACAGACACUUACAGAGUAUCUACACACAGAAGUUCAAAAUACUGUACUUCGGGUAAGGUAAGGUAAGGUAAGGUAAGAGGUCCUGAUCUAAACACUAAUCCUUCAUUUUCAAUUAUAUCUUCUAGGGUUUUUUUUGUUUUUUCUUUUUUGUACCUUUAAAAUCACAAAGUGAUGUUGGUUAUUCCACAAGUGACUUGGGGAUAUGAAACAGAGAUGAGUCUGUCUUUGAACACUGGAGAUGUAUUCAGUACUCCGUAAUUAACACCAAAAUGGUAAUCACUAAUUUUCAGAUAAAAUCAACUAUGGUUCAUUGGGAAAAAAUAUGCAUUCUGUUGAAUAUACAAUUAUAUCUAUUCUAAAGCAAUCACUGCUCGAAUUUGCAUAUUGAGAAACAGUUCCUGGAAAUAUGACCUACUUGGUAAUAAACAGUUUUGAUUUUGAAGAAUAUUUAUUCCUUACACUAUCUAUUGCACCUGUAUAUUAAAUUCAGAAGGAGUACCUGCAUGCUACCUAAACUGUAUCAAAUUACUUCUCAUUUUUUAUCUUUUCCUUUCUCUCUUUACCCCAGACUACACAGUAUCCAUGAUCUGUACAAUUUUGCUUGGAUGAACUUUGCAAACAGCUCUCUGCAGUGAGCACUGAGAAGGGGUUUUGGUAGCAGCAGUUGGAGUCUAAAAUGGAUCAGCUUCACACAAAAGGUACAAACAACAUAGGAGAGCAUGAGUCAUUCCCCUUCAUCUACACUGAGAUGCUGAGUUUAAAACAUGAAAAGGUCACUACUUUUUUGUGCACAGAUGAGAGUAUAAAGUGAUCCAAUUGUCAUCUUACUUCUCUUUAACAUCUAUGGCCUCUGAAACGCCACUUUGAACAGAAGAUCACAUGGGAGAGAAAAACCUCAGCACGGCUCAACUGUAUGUGAAAUCACAAAAGUUCAAGGCAGAGAAGAUGGAUGAACCCCCUUGAGAAAGGCCACAGAGAGCACUGACUGCAACUAAAACUGUAUUUUAUCACUUUUGAUUCCCUUAAAACUAAAAUACACUUGUGUUAACAUUCAAAA